AUUGAACGCUGGCGGCAUGCUUUACACAUGCAAGUCGAACGGUAACAGGCCGCAAGGUGCUGACGAGUGGCGAACGGGUGAGUAAUUCAUCGGAACGUGCCCAGCCGUGGGGGAUAACUACUCGCAAGAGUAGCUAAUACCGCAUACGAUCUAUGGAUGAAAGCGGGGGACCGUAAGGCCUCGCGCGAUUGGAGCGGCCGAUGUCAGAUUAGGUAGUUGGUGGGGUAAAGGCUCACCAAGCCAACGAUCUGUAGCUGGUCUGAGAGGACGACCAGCCACACUGGGACUGGGACACGGCCCAGACUCCUACGGGAGGCAGCAGUGGGGAAUGUUGGACAAUGGGCGCAAGCCUGAUCCAGCAAUGCCGCGUGCAGGAAGAAGGCCUUCGGGUUGUAAACUGCUUUUGUACGGAACGAAACGGCUCUGGUUAAUACCCGGGGCUAAUGACGGUACCGGAAGAAUAAGCACCGGCUAACUACGUG
rnacentral:rRNA from 1 species